UGAGGAAUAUUGGUCAAUGGGCGAGAGCCUGAACCAGCCAAGUAGCGUGCAGGAUGACGGCCCUAUGGGUUGUAAACUGCUUUUAUGUGGGGAUAAAGUGCGUGACGUGUCAUGCAUUGCAGGUACCACAUGAAUAAGGACCGGCUAAUUCCGUGCCAGCAGCCGCGGUAAUACGGAAGGUCCGGGCGUUAUCCGGAUUUAUUGGGUUUAAAGGGAGCGUAGGCUGUCUAUUAAGCGUGUUGUGAAGUAUACCGGCUCAACCGGUGGCUUGCAGCGCGAACUGGUCGACUUGAGUAUGCAGGAAGUAGGCGGAAUUCAUGGUGUAGCGGUGAAAUGCUUAGAUAUCAUGACGAACUCCGAUUGCGCAGGCAGCUUACUGUAGCAUAACUGACGCUGAUGCUCGAAAGUGCGGGUAUCAAACAGG
rnacentral:rRNA from 1 species